rnacentral:misc_RNA from 1 species
GGCGGCCUUUUAGCCAUUUGUGUCGUUGAUUUGAUUUCAAGUUGUACUCGGUGUUAAAAAAGGUCAAAUUGAUGGCAUUAUGGUUAGAUUGACGCGUUGACGUGUGAGUGGCUACUUAAUGUUUGUGUUGGUUGGCUCCCUGCUUGCGCAGCGAACAGUCGGUGCAUACAUAUUUCAGUCGAGACGGAGAUGUUCGUGUUGGAUUUUUGUGUUGGCAACCCAAUUUUGGAAUUCUUAUGACCUGGAUGCGUCGCUUCGCCGAACACCCUUUGAGGUGCUAGGCGGUCGAUGAAGCUGCCCCGAUUUUUGCCAUGCUCUCCCGUUUUGGGAACCAUGGAAAAUUGGUUGUAUUGCUUGUUGCCCCGGAUGCAGAGCAUGAAGCGAGCAUGAUGCAUGUCAUCAAAGCUCAUUCAGAGCUCUCGAUUGCUCUAAAAGAGAGACCGCCGCGCUUGGUUUCGGUUGCUGACUCGUCGGACCAGCUUGAGACCUUGCCGACGUCUUCAUUGAAUGCUACCUGGUUGAUCCUGCCAGUAGUCAUAUGCUUGUCUCAAAGAUUAAGCCAUGA